AUGGAGGACGAUACCUUCUACCGUAUCCUCUGGAUCACGACAGUCUCAUUACUGACUGUACUUAUUCCAGCCUUCAGGAAGUGGAUGGUAGGAGUCAGGGCUGGUGCUGAGCCAGGCACUGCAACACAGGAGGGGGUUGGAGGGGGGCCAGGGCCAUCCCCAGGGCUGGGCUGGGAGACUGCCUGGGAGGAGAGGCCGUGUCCCAGCAGGGCCUGGCCAGGCUCGGCAAGGAGUCCCAGGGCAGUCACGGGCCGAGCCUGGCUGUGCCCUGGGUUGGUGGGAGCCGCUGAGGCUGCUAGGGAUGCUCCCCUCUCACUCGCUGCUUUCUGUGCCCAUACAGAAGGAAAGGUCCAAAACGUCCCAAACAGAGGAAGUGCCAACACGGAGCUAACCAGGCAAAUUCUAGAGGUGAGCAGCCCUGGCAAGGGAGGUGCCCUGCAAAGACAACCCUGGCCCCACUUGCCCACCACCCCAUCACGUUUCUCCCUAUCACUCACUCUGCUUUCUUUGCCAACAGUUUGGGACUUGUGCACGUCUUCACAGCACGCGAGGAUGCACUCCUCAGUGCCCAGUCAGACGGAUGACACCUAUGAAGCCAUCCAAUGUUUUUACAGAACUGUUCAAGACUCCAACAGAUGCUUGGACAGGCUCAUGUUGCAAAUGCCUGAGGGCAGCAAUGAGGGGGGCGGCAACGAGGGCACCAUCACCUGUUGUGGGGAUAUGAAGACACCUUGCCCACAACCAAAGUCCCAGGAGCGGGACCUGCCCUUGGUGGAUGAGGCUAUGAGAAGUCUCCUGGAGCAUCCUGACAUGAAAAUGCAGGCACCAGAGCACCUGCAGAAGAGCCUCUCAGAGCCUAAUCUGGGGCACAAAGACUCCCAGCUUCCACAUCCACUGAGGCAAACAAGGAGGUCCGCUCGCUUGCCCUUCCAGCGCAGGCACAUGCAGGCUCAGGCAUGGAGGUCAUCAGCAGAGGCCUUUGGCCAACGGCAAAAAUCUGCCUCCCUGAUGGACACACGCAAACAAGAAACAAUGCGUACAGUCCAUGCUGACUGCUACAGACUCUGUGAACACCCUGACAACCAGGAGAACAGGUUGAUGUAUCUAUGGCUGGAGCAGUAUGAAUACGUUGAGAGGAAGAUGCAGGACUUUUUCACACCACACUGCGUCCUGCCUAGCAAUGAAGGAUCCAAGGGUGUGUCUCCAUCUGACCCUGCUGCUCAAGAGCCAGAGGGAAGUAGAUCUGCAGUUGCAUCAAGCAGGACACAUAGGUCACAGACUCCAUCUCAGCUGUGCAGAGGCUGCUGUGUGCCACCCUUUCUGUGCUGCAGCGUUCAGCAUGUCUGGGCCAAGCUCAAAGCAGCCAGCAAGGCCCUCUGUUCCAAGAUCAGAAAGGGAAGCGAGAAGCUCUCAAGGAAGGGAAGAAAGCUCUUCAGGAAAAACAGAGCCGACAAGGCUGGACGCAAGUCAUCAUGGGAGCAGACAAUCACUGACACCUCUGGCCAAAAGGAGAAGCUCAGGUCCACCUCUGGAGGCAAUGAAGGACUUGGUGGCAUCUGAAGACAAGACUUUCAGUGGUGUCAGUGAGAUCACAGGGUGCCAGUAAGGGAUCAAGCCAGGAUGGCAGCAGCCACAGGCACCUGGAUGUACUGGAGCCUGUUGCCUGUAGAGUGACAGCCCACAUGCUGCUACCUAGCAGUGGGUUGCUCUUGGAGCCCCAAGCUCCUUCUCCAGCUCAGUCUGUUCAUCCAUCAGGUGUUCAGGCAGGCACACCUGCAGCAAGCAGAGAAUUGCCACCAGAUGCGACCAGAGGGCAAGAGCAGAAUGGCAGGGGACACACCCAGGACAGGCCAGAUCCUCCAAGAAGAACUUCCCCACAGAAAAAGCACUCCUCCACCGAGCAGAGAACCUCAGGUCUGCCAGAGCUUCCACAUCCCACUGAGAUCAAUAUUCCAGUCUCCCUCGUGCAGGAGCUUUUCACAGCUUUUAGAGAUUUGAACAUAGCCGGGCAAACUGCUAAGGAGCUGCAAAAGCAGGUGCUGGCUUCCUUUUCAAAAUAGCCCACAAACAACGUCAAGUAACAGAGAACAGAUGUGGCAGCAGAGGAACCUGGGGUCAGGACACAGACUGGAAGAGAAGGGCGAAGGGUGCAGCCAGAACAGAUCUGACCCUGGGACACUCUGCCCUGCAUGCAGCAAAGCCCCCCACUGCAGCCAGCCAGGAGCUGUAAGCUCCCAGAGAUUGGCUGCACCCGCAACUGCAGCCCCAGGUGCACAAAGAGACGCAGAGAGAAGAAUCCUUCCAUGACGACGGGGACAAGAGGCAGAAGGCCUGAAAAAUGCUCCUGCAGAUCAUCAGCCUGAGGGCCUCCUGUGCCUAAGGACAUCAACCCCUAUCAUUGCAGGAGGAAGCCCACCAGGACACACAGUCAGAGAGCAGCAGAUACCUGAAUUGUUUUUAUGAUUUUUCCUUAUUGAUAUUCCCCAUCAUGACAACACGUAGUGCUAUUGCUUCAGUCAAUAGCACUACAUAUACAUACAUAUACAUACAGAAUAAUGCAAAGUCCACUGGGAUAUGUAGUUUGUAGGACUUUGCAUUAUUCUGUUUCCAUCUUUCAUUCUGAAGCAAAGAUAAAACUGUUCACAUAUCACAAGACGUUCUCUCUUUUCCUUUCUUCUUGCCCUGGCUAGACUUCUCACCUUAGAAGUGGCAUUAGCCUCACUCUAAUGCCACUUCUAAGGUGAGAAGUCUAGCCAGGAUUUUUGGAUUCUCUGUCAUUUUAUUUGACUUAAUUAUUUUAAUUUUUUAUUAUUAUUAUUUCUUUAACUUUAAUUAUUUCAAAAUAAAAUAAAAUAAUUUCUCCCCA
rnacentral:lncRNA from 1 species